UUUGAAAAAGUAGCACAGACCAGAUCUUCUCAUCAGCAAAGCUAAAAGACCUAAAUAUUCAAAGUCACUGCUUUAGUGUAACAGCAAGAACAGCAAAGACAGAGGGAAUGUACCCAGAGAGGAGACAAUCAAGAAGCACUCUGAUCCCAGAACUGGAAAAUGGGAAACAGGGAAUGCAAGCGCAAAAAAAGUUUUGCCUUUAACACUGAGUUCAAGACCUGAGCUUCAUAAGAGCAAAGGACAGUCAUCAUCAUCUUCACACUGCAUAGAUAUUUGAAUGCCAAGUCAAUAAAAUCCUAGUUAAAUAAAUGAAGCUCAAGAAAUGUGCUUUUUGAGCAGCGGGGUACAUGUAUGGAGAAAAACGAGAAAGGAGUGCUGGUGGAAGAAAAUUAAUGUACAACUUGCUCCUUGAAACACAGGCUUUAAAGUAUAACUUUGGAAUCAUAUACUUAUUUUCAAGAAAAAAAUUAUCUUCACAAUGAACGAAUUUCUGGAUGAGGCUGUUGACUACGGAAAAUGGUCCCUUUCCAUAUCUGCCAAUUUUAUGUCUCUUGAUAUUUCUGCACCCUCUUACUAAUUAACUGGUCUUCAUCAGGAAGAUAUUAAUAAUGGUUGAACACUCAGGAGACACCCACAGCCUCAAAACUAAAGAGACCUAUUCAAGAAGAGACGGGAUGAACCAGGAGAAGAAAGGUACAUGGCAAAAACACAGCAGGUCAGAGCAGUUGUGCCCGGCUUUGCAC